rnacentral:rRNA from 1 species
UGGGGAAUUUUGCACAAUGGGGGAAACCCUGAUGCAGCGACGCCGCGUGAUUUAGAAGGCCUUCGGGUUGUAAAAAUCUUUUCUAUGGGAAGAAUAUGACAGUACCAUAGGAAUAAGGACCGGCUAAUUACGUGCCAGCAGCCGCGGUAAUACGUAAGGUCCGAGCGUUGUCCGGAAUCAUUGGGCGUAAAGGGUACGUAGGCGGGUCAGCAAGUUAGAAGUGAAAUCCUAUAGCUCAACUAUAGUAAGCUUUUAAAACUGCUCAUCUUGAGGUAUGGAAGGGAAAGUGGAAUUCCUAGUGUAGCAGUGAAAUGCGCAGAUAUUAGGAGGAAUACCGGUGGCGAAGGAGACUUUCUGGCCAGAACCUGACGCUGAGGUACGAAAGCGUGGGUAGCAAGCAGG